CAGAGUUAUCUAACUCCCAAACCCAUGUGAACUUACCUUUUGUUGCCUCGGCAGUUUUGGGCGAGCCUACCCUGUAGCUGCUUACCCUGUAACGACUGCCGGUGGACUACUAAACUCUUGUUAUUUUUAAGUAAUCUGAGCGUCUUAUUUUAAUAAGUCA
rnacentral:misc_RNA from 1 species